GGGGUGUUCACGGCGGGGCUGUUGUCUCGGGCAGGUGGCCAAGGUGGAGUACAUCAGGAAGAAGCCAAAGUUAAAAGAAGUGCAGGUGCGGCUGGAGGAGCAUCUGGAAUGCACAUGCACAGCCAGCGGUCUGAACCCGGACCACCGGGAGGAGGAGACGGAUGUGAGGUGAGGAUAAGCCAGCAGCCCUUUUCCGGGACACGGAUGUACAUGGCGUGUUACAUUCCUGAACCUACUAUGUACGGUGCUCAUUGACAGCGUGCGGUCUUUGUUCUCCUCCGUGAAAAACCGUCUCCGUGCACACUCUGGAGAACAAAGAGACAGUAUACAUUUGUUUAAUGUGACAUCAAAGCAAGUAUUGUAGCACUCGGUGAAACAAUAAGAAGCUUCCUUGUCAAAAAGAGAGAGGGAGAGAGAGCAAAGAGAACCACAAAACAUGACAAACAAAACGGACUCACAAAAAUAUCUAAACAGUUGUUGGAACGGAGGGACACCCCCGUGGGAUGGAAGCGAUGUGCCUCGGCGGACCGGAUUUCUGUCCAGGGUUACAGGUGCUUCUGCCAGGGACACAGCCUGCUUUCUGGAGGACUCCGGGCGGGGGCCGAGGGCCCUGAGGGCACGUGGGAGCAGGGGUAUCUCAGAACCACCACGGGACUUAGAAACACAUCUCCUUGCCGUAGUGUUUAAGUCUAUACAGAAACCUUCCCGAGAGCCUUAAGUGGAUUUUUUUUUUUUUUACACCAUAAAGUGAUUAUUAAGCUUUCCUUUUUACUCUUUGGCUAGCUUUUUUUUUUUUUUUUUUUAAUUAUCUCUUGGAUGACAUUUACACCGAUAACACCAGGCUGCUGUAAGUCAGGACAGUGGGACCGUAUUUCCCCUCGCAGGAUGCAAACAAAUGAGAUGUAUUAAAAUAAACAUGGUAUAUCCACCUAUGCAUCACUUCCUAAAUGUUUCUGGCUUUACGUGUUUCUCCCCUGCCCCAUUUUAUCUUACUUUUUAAUUUAAGCCAUUUCGAGAGAACUAUGCGUGAACCAAUCGAGUCCGUCCCAGGCCUGCCGCUCCCAGUCCUCGCCGCAGCGAGGUGGCCCUGUGCCAGUGUUUGGACAGAAUCUAAAUUCUUUAUUUUUGGUAAGAUGUUACGCUUUACAUGUAUUCAACAGAAAUGUGUGUGUGUUGUGUUUUUGUUUUUGUUUUGUAAAGGUGAAGUUUGUAUUUUUAUCUAAUAUUACCAGUUUUGUAUACCUGAGAGCCUGCUAUGUUUUUUCUUUGAACCAAAAGGAAAAAGAAAAACCCACCAACAAAACCCAUACACGUGAAAAGUGCUUUGUGGUCACAUUUUUCUAGUUGCGUAACUGAGUCUAGACCCUGUCUCCUGUCACGGGGCCCGUCGCUCGGAGGUGCCCCGGGCCGCCCCACCACGAGAGCCUGCGCAGCGAGGCCUGCCCUUGGGAUUCCGGAACUUGAUGGGCCAACAGUGCCAUCCUGCCCGGGUGUGUGGCCUCUUGGAGACGGCGGCCACGCGCCCAGCCGAGCAGCCAAGCAGACGAUGGGCUUCAUCCGGAAGUGAGUUGACUUCGGCGUCCGCGGGCCGAGCCAGUGAAGGCCGGCCGCCCUGUGUCGCCCGUGGCCCGCUCUCCCUGCUCCGAGCAGAGAGGCCAUGUGACUGUCACGAUCCCCUUGGUGCCUGUGGGGUCUCUGGAGCGAAAGCGAGCGUCUCUGGUGUUCGCGUGUUCAUGGGAGAGUUUUUAUAAAGGCAUUCCUUCAGCAGCA